rnacentral:rRNA from 1 species
UACAGAGGGGGCCAGCGUUAUUCGGAAUUAUUGGGCGUAAAGGGCGCGUAGGCGGCUUUGCGUGUCUUUCGUGAAAUCCCUCGGCUCAACUGAGGACGUGCGGAAGAAACUGCAGGGCUGGAGUCCGGGAGAGGAGGGUGGAAUUCCCAGUGUAGCGGUGAAAUGCGUAGAUAUUGGGAGGAACACCGGUGGCGAAGGCGGCCCUCUGGACCGGUACUGACGCUGAUGCACGAAAGCGUGGGGAGCAAACGGG